UACGUAGGGAGCAAGCGUUGUUCGGAUUUACUGGGCGUAAAGGGCGCGUAGGCGGCGCGACAAGUCACUUGUGAAAUCUCCGGGCUUAACUCGGAACGGUCAAGUGAAACUGUCAUGCUAGAGUGCAGAAGGGGCAAUCGGAAUUCUUGGUGUAGCGGUGAAAUGCGUAGAUAUCAAGAGAAACACCUGAGGUGAAGACGGGUUGCUGGGCCAACACUGACGCUGAGGCGCGAAAGCCAGGGGAGCAAACGGG
rnacentral:rRNA from 1 species